rnacentral:lncRNA from 1 species
AAAAUCAGUGUAUGUGUGUUUUGUUUAUACAUACCUAUGCAUACGCAAAAACAUAUAGAUUUAUCCUAUAUGCAAUUCUGGGAAGCCUGUUAUAUUAUUUGUUAUUCUGCUUUUAACAGCAAUGGACACUUUUUGAGAGCCAAAUGCUGAGGGUAAAUUGCAAAAAAGACUCAACUCUGCUAUUCAAAUGGACUACAGUUUAAUAAGAAGAGACUGCCAGUGGCAAAAGAGUAUAAUAUGUGCUACGGAUCUCUCAGCGGUUAAAGCUCAGAUGGAACCCCCUUAUGAAAUAUCCACAAGAUGCUGCUGAGGUGCUCAAGAACUUGUCUGCAGUCCUUGCCUAAGCAGGUUUUCCAACCAAACAAAAACAUCUGCAUGCUGACUUCGAACUUAGUAAAGUCUCAUGUAGGCAGUACGCCAAUUCCUAAAUAGCUAAGAAGAUGAGCAAAGCUUACAGAAGACAGAGUUAUAGAGAGACAAAAACUGAAAUACAGAUCCUAGGAAGAAAGAUG